rnacentral:rRNA from 1 species
UACGUAGGGUGCAGGCGUUGUCCGGAAUUAUUGGGCGUAAAGAGCUCGUAGGCGGUUUGUUGCGUCGGCUGUGAAAACCUGAGGCUCAACCUCAGGCCUGCAGUCGAUACGAGCAGACUAGAGUGUUGCAGGGGAGACUGGAAUUCCUGGUGUAGCGGUGAAAUGCGCAGAUAUCAGGAGGAACACCGGUGGCGAAGGCGGGUCUCUGGGCAACAACUGACGCUGAGGAGCGAAAGCGUGGGGAGCGAACAGG